rnacentral:rRNA from 1 species
GAUGAACGCUGGCGGCGUGCCUAAUACAUGCAAGUCGAGCGAACGGACGAGAAGCUUGCUUCUCUGAUGUUAGCGGCGGACGGGUGAGUAACACGUGGAUAACCUACCUAUAAGACUGGGAUAACUUCGGGAAACCGGAGCUAAUACCGGAUAAUAUUUUGAACCGCAUGGUUCAAAAGUAAAAGACGGUCUUGCUGUCACUUAUAGAUGGAUCCGCGCUGCAUUAGCUAGUUGGUAAGGUAACGGCUUACCAAGGCAACGAUGCAUAGCCGACCUGAGAGGGUGAUCGGCCACACUGGAACUGAGACACGGUCCAGACUCCUACGGGAGGCAGCAGUAGGGAAUCUUCCGCAAUGGGCGAAAGCCUGACGGAGCAACGCCGCGUGAGUGAUGAAGGUCUUCGGAUCGUAAAACUCUGUUAUUAGGGAAGAACAUAUGUGUAAGUAACUGUGCACAUCUUGACGGUACCUAAUCAGAAAGCCACGGCUAACUACGUGCCAGCAGCCGCGGUAAUACGUAGGUGGCAAGCGUUAUCCGGAAUUAUUGGGCGUAAAGCGCGCGUAGGCGGUUUUUUAAGUCUGAUGUGAAAGCCCACGGCUCAACCGUGGAGGGUCAUUGGAAACUGGAAAACUUGAGUGCAGAAGAGGAAAGUGGAAUUCCAUGUGUAGCGGUGAAAUGCGCAGAGAUAUGGAGGAACACCAGUGGCGAAGGCGACUUUCUGGUCUGUAACUGACGCUGAUGUGCGAAAGCGUGGGGAUCAAACAGGAUUAGAUACCCUGGUAGUCCACGCCGUAAACGAUGAGUGCUAAGUGUUAGGGGGUUUCCGCCCCUUAGUGCUGCAGCUAACGCAUUAAGCACUCCGCCUGGGGAGUACGACCGCAAGGUUGAAACUCAAAGGAAUUGACGGGGACCCGCACAAGCGGUGGAGCAUGUGGUUUAAUUCGAAGCAACGCGAAGAACCUUACCAAAUCUUGACAUCCUUUGACAACUCUAGAGAUAGAGCCUUCCCCUUCGGGGGACAAAGUGACAGGUGGUGCAUGGUUGUCGUCAGCUCGUGUCGUGAGAUGUUGGGUUAAGUCCCGCAACGAGCGCAACCCUUAAGCUUAGUUGCCAUCAUUAAGUUGGGCACUCUAAGUUGACUGCCGGUGACAAACCGGAGGAAGGUGGGGAUGACGUCAAAUCAUCAUGCCCCUUAUGAUUUGGGCUACACACGUGCUACAAUGGACAAUACAAAGGGCAGCGAAACCGCGAGGUCAAGCAAAUCCCAUAAAGUUGUUCUCAGUUCGGAUUGUAGUCUGCAACUCGACUACAUGAAGCUGGAAUCGCUGGUAAUCGUAGAUCAGCAUGCUACGGUGAAUACGUUCCCGGGUCU